rnacentral:tRNA from 1 species
UGCAGUUGUGGCGGAAUUGGCAGACGCGCAGGAUUAAGGAUCCUGUGCCCGUUUUAGGGCGUGCGGGUUCGACUCCCGCCAACUGCAUC